rnacentral:sRNA from 1 species
GGAGGCGGCGACGCCCCCCCGACUUGAGACUGGCGAUAGCCGGUCUGUCGCCUCCGCGCCUCAUUCUCGAUGAUGCCACUUCCCGGGCGGGCCGAAAGGUCCGCCC